CCUACGGGUGGCAGCAGUGGGGAAUAUUGCGCAAUGGGCGAAAGCCUGACGCAGCGACGCCGCGUGAGGGAUGAAGGUCUUCGGAUCGUAAACCCCUGUCAGCAGGGAAGAACGGUCACUGUGCUAAUCAGCAGUGAAUUGACGGUACCUGCAAAGGAAGCACCGGCUAACUCCGUGCCAGCAGCCGCGGUAAUACGGAGGGUGCGAGCGUUAAUCGGAAUUACUGGGCGUAAAGCGCGCGUAGGCGGGAUGUCAAGUCAAGGGUGAAAUCCCCGAGCUCAACGUGGGAACUGCCGUUGAAACUGGCAUACUGGAGGGUGUGAGAGGAAAGUGGAAUUCGUGGUGUAGGGGUGAAAUCCGUAGAUAUCUGGAGGAACAUCAGUGGCGAAGGCGACUAUCUGGCACAUAACUGACGCUGAGGAGCGAAAGCGUGGGUAGCAAACAGGAUUAGAUACCCUUGUAGUC
rnacentral:rRNA from 1 species